UACGUAGGGUGCGAGCGUUAAUCGGAAUUACUGGGCGUAAAGCGUGCGCAGGCGGUUUUGUAAGCCAGAUGUGAAAUCCCCGGGCUUAACCUGGGAAUGGCAUUUGGGACUGCAAGGCUUGAGUGCGGCAGAGGAGACUGGAAUUCCUGGUGUAGCAGUGAAAUGCGUAGAGAUCAUGAGGAAGACCAGUGGCGAAGGCGGGUCUCUGGACAGUUCCUGACACUGAGGCACGAAGGCUAGGGGAGCGAACGGG
rnacentral:rRNA from 1 species